rnacentral:rRNA from 1 species
GACGAACGCUGGCGGCGUGCUUAACACAUGCAAGUCGAACGGAAAGGCCCUGCUUUUGUGGGGUGCUCGAGUGGCGAACGGGUGAGUAACACGUGAGUAACCUGCCCUUGACUUUGGGAUAACUUCAGGAAACUGGGGCUAAUACCGGAUAGGAGCUCCUGCUGCAUGGUGGGGGUUGGAAAGUUUCGGCGGUUGGGGAUGGACUCGCGGCUUAUCAGCUUGUUGGUGGGGUAGUGGCUUACCAAGGCUUUGACGGGUAGCCGGCCUGAGAGGGUGACCGGGCGACGCGGAGGUGGGAACGACCCCAGGCGCGUGCGGGAGGCAGCAGGGGAGAGUCUGACACGCGGGGCGGAAGGCGGAUGAGCGAGGGCCGCGUGCGAGGGGAUCGCUUUCGGGUUGGAGCCUGCGUUGGCCGGGGGGGAAGCGGGAGUGACGGGAAUGAGGAAAGAAGACCCGGCUAACUCGGGGCCAGCAGCGGCGGUAGUAGGGAAAGAGCACUCGCCUGAAC